CGUAAAUAGGGCAGAGCCGGAGCGCAGCGCGGAGAGGACACCCAGCCGGAGGAACCUGCAGGAUGGACAGUCGGGACGCGCUCAACCCCGCCGCCUCACGCACCCGCCCGUAGCAAUCCAGCCCACCGCCGUCUGCAGCCCGCCGAGCCGGAGGAGAGGAGAGGAGCUAACAGAAGAACACACGACAAACGACGCGAAGAAGGAGAAGAAGGAGAGGAAGAGCGCAGUUUUGGUGUCGUCGCUGCGAGGGAAUCUGUGGCAUUUCGCCCCACUGCCCCCUCUCGAAUACCCCUUCCCUUCUGCCCUCUUGCCUCGCACUACCACAGGUGCUCACUCAUGGGCGGCCUGGGCGUUUGGGCUGCGGCCGCUCUGCUGGGGGCCGCAGGGUGCUGCCUGGCCCAAGGGCUCAAGGGCGGCAGGUGGGGCGGCGGCGGGACGGCCACCGUGCCCCGUGACUCCCACCAGGACCGGCGCUCCACGGAGGAGGGGAACGUGGACGGGAGCAUCCAUCAACGUGAGUACUCGCCGUGUUCAAGGCAAACUGCAUUCUGUGCAACACGCGCUCCGCGUGCUGCUGCUGCUCUGGCACACGCUUUGUUUUCCCUGAUUGCUGGGAAGGAAUUCAAAUGUCAUAAGGCGGACGGUGCAUGAGGCUGUUACGGGGAAGAGGCUCUGAUGACGACGUGACUGACAGUCUGAGGCGAAACCGAUUCUCCUCCUCGCACAGAGUGUCAGAUUGAACGCGUUCGGGUUGUCACCGCAUGCCAGCAGAUAAUCCACAAACCAGG
ensembl:lncRNA